rnacentral:rRNA from 1 species
UGGGGAAUAUUGCACAAUGGGCGAAAGCCUGAUGCAGCGACGCCGCGUGCGGGAUGAAGGCCUUCGGGUUGUAAACCGCUUUUAAUUGGGAGCAAGCGAGAGUGAGUGUACCUUUUGAAUAAGCACCGGCUAACUACGUGCCAGCAGCCGCGGUAAUACGUAGGGUGCAAGCGUUAUCCGGAAUUAUUGGGCGUAAAGAGCUCGUAGGCGGUUUGUCACGCCUGGUGUGAAAGUCCAUCGCUUAACGGUGGAUCUGCGCCGGGUACGGGCAGGCUAGAGUGCAGUAGGGGAGAUUGGAAUUCCCGGUGUAACGGUGGAAUGUGUAGAUAUCGGGAAGAACACCAAUGGCGAAGGCAGAUCUCUGGGCUGUUACUGACGCUGAGGAGCGAAAGCAUGGGGAGCGAACAGGAUUAGAUACCCGUGGUAGUCCAUGCCGUAAAACGGUGGAUGCUGGAUGUGGGACCC